CCAGACAUGUACGUCAAUUACUAUUUUGCAUACCGUCGUCGUCAGAUAUCCUAUAAUAGGAUAUCUUAAUAUAUAAAUAAAAAGACAGAUCAAGGUGUAGAUAAUAUUAACGUCUCAGCGAGUUACAAUAAAAAAUUAUUUCAUUAACCAUUUUUAAUUAUACUACCUGACGGACUUAAAAGUAAUAAAUAA
rnacentral:rRNA from 1 species